CAAAUCAAAUAUAGUUUCGUACUGUGUGGAUUUAAAUGUUAGCCACGUAAAUAAGUUAGUAAAUGUGUAGUUUUGUGCUACGGCCCGAUAAUAAACAAAUAUUACGGGUUAGCUAGAAUAGAUAUUUCGUUGUAACUAUUUUAUUAUUUAAUUAAUUACGAAAUAUUUAGAAAAUAAUUAGAAUAAUUAUUAAUUAAUUAAUUUAUUAUGUUAUGAUCUCAAAUAAUAUUUCAUAGUAGCGUUAAAUAAGCCAGGACCGAGACCAAACCGAGCCAAACGGAGAUUAUUUUAAAAAAAAAUAAUAUAUAAAAGAAAUAAAAGAAAUAAUAAAGCAAGUCGGUGCCCAAGUCUUGAACUUGGUGCCCACGUCCUGUACUUGGCAACCAAGUAAAGUAUAAUAAAAAAAAAAUAGAUUAAAGGGUAAUUAAAUGCUAAUGAUGAUUAGUAAUGGCUAUAAAAGCCAAGCAAGUUGUCAAUUGCCAUUUCCAUUUUUCCUGCAUAAAAGAAAAGAGAGAAAGUUAGGCAAACAGGAUAGUAAAUCAGUGAGCUAAUUUGGAACGGAGAAGUUUUGGACGUUUUAGAGCACUAUAAUAAAAGAAUUUAAUAUUGGAAAGGCGGAGCUGAUUUAUAAGUAUUAAAUUGAGGAAAUAUUUCAAGCUAAGGACCCGAGUAAAGAGUGAGUAUGGCGCAACUCAAGAGAACCGCCCGAAAACGGGUUUUGGCAAGGAAAAGGAAAAGACACAUCACAUGAGCUGAAGCUGCUAGGCAACGCUGUUUGGUGAUGCCAACUACAAUUAUUAUAAUAGUCUGUAAUCAGACUUACUAUUAUGUAAUAAAGUUAGACUUGGUAGUAGUGUUGUGGACGAUCGACCCUGGACUUGUGGGGCGAGAAUUGUACUUGUAUAAUAUUAAUAUAAUGCUAGUGUUGUUUUGA